UACAGAGGUCUCGAGCGUUGUUCGGAUUCAUUGGGCGUAAAGGGCGCGUAGGUGGUUCUGUAUGUCUACCGUGAAAGCAUACAGCUCAACUGUAUUUUGUCGGUAGAAACUGCAGGACUUGAGGCUGGGAGGGGCUGGUGGAAUUCCCUGUGUAGCGGUGAAAUGCGUAGAGAUGGGGGAGAACACUCGUGGCGAAGGCGGCCAGCUAGACCAGUUCUGACACUGAGGCGCGACAGCGUGGGGAGCAAACAGG
rnacentral:rRNA from 1 species